UGACCUCAAAUCAGUAGACACCCAAUUUGUGG
rnacentral:rRNA from 1 species